rnacentral:rRNA from 1 species
GACGAACGCUGGCGGCGUGCCUAAUACGUGCAAGUUGAGCGGACGUUUUGUUGGUGCUUGCACCGACUUAACGUUAGCGGCGGACGGGUGAGUAACACGUGGGCAACCUGCCCUGUAGUCUGGGAUAACUCCGGGAAACCGGGGCUAAUACCGGAUGAUACUUUUUAAUUCAUGUUAGAAAGUUGAAAGAUGGUUCUGCUAUCGCUACAGGAUGGGCCCGCGGCGCAUUAGCUAGUUGGUGAGGUAACGGCUCACCAAGGCAACGAUGCGUAGCCGACAUGAGAGGGUGAUCGGCCACACUGGGACUGAGACACGGCCCAGACUCCUACGGGAGGCAGCAGUAGGGAAUCUUCCACAAUGGACGAAAGUCUGAUGGAGCAACGCCGCGUGAGUGAAGAAGGAUUUCGGUUCGUAAGACUCUGUUGUAAGGGAAGAACAAGUACAGUAGUAACUGGCUGUACCUUGACGGUACCUUAUUAGAAAGCCACGGCUAACUACGUGCCAGCCGCCGCCGUAAAAC